UUAGCAAGAAAUUACUCUUUAUUGAUCAAAUCACCAGGAAUUUGCAGCAAAAGACUUAACAUCUUAAUGACCACCGAGGCCUGGGCUCUGAGGCUUGCUCUGCCUCUCCCAGUCCUUAAUGGGGUUUAGAGGGAGAGACGUCAUUAACAGAGACCAAGUCAGAUGGUUGCAGGUCCUCCUUUCCCAGUCAUCAGACAAGGUGCUCAAUUCUUGUCCAGAGCAGGAAAGCGCCAGUACUUCAGUAAAAUUGAAUAAAGAAUUUUAUGUUGCAUUAUAAGAUCUCUCUUAACAAUUUAGAUUUAUCAACAGUAUUGGUCCAAAACUCAUUUGCUUCUGAUCUAAAUUUUUUUCAUUUUGCAAUUUACUUUGUGCGUGUGUUAUUUUAAUAAUCUCACUCCCUGUGCAGAAAUUAUUCAACCCAGUGCAAAGAAAAAUCCCUCAACCUGGAAUAGCUUCAUCUUACUUUGGAAAGAGAAAACAGAGGUAUUUUUGCUCCUCUUCUACCCAAGUGAUGAACAAAUAUCCCCCCAAAGUUCAAAAUGUUACUCUGGCCUCGGAAUGCACAUAAAGACUGCUUUAGAUGGGCUGAUUCCAAUCAUCUAGAAAGGGCAGCCGGAACCACUAUGCAGGCAGCCUUCUUUGGAAAUUUCUUACAAUCAACUCUUGAGAACCAUCCGUGAUUGGGGACAAUGGCUCUAAGGUCCAAACAACUUCUGUUCUUUCAUCUCACGAGCUAGGCUCAGAGGCAGCAUUUGAACUGUCAGGAGCAAGAACAGCAACUGUGGCCCCACGAGGUAGGACUUCAAUAACUCGCGGCUUGUCAAUGAUCCGGGCCGUUCGGUUUCCCUUUUCCACAAUGCCAACGAUCCACGCUUGGUGACCCUCUCCGUACUUGGAGGAUUUGAUUUCAGAACAAAAGCGAGCCGCCUGUUCUCUUGGCAGACAAAUCAGUAAUCCCCCAGAGGUUUCAGCUGAGGUUCCUUGAAGAAGCCCAAACCGUCCACUGGCCUUGCUGACGGCGGCCAUCUUGGCAAUUAUUGGCAGAUUAUGAAUAACAAAGGACACUUCAUUUCUUUGUUGUUUUGCAAGGUUCUGGGAGUGUCCUAGAAUGCCAAAGCCUGUGAUAUCUGUGGCCGCAUGGGCAUUAAAUGUGUGCAUUAAACCUGCAGCAGUUCUGUUGAGGGUAGCCAUAUUGAACAUGGCUUCCUGAUAGGCCAGCUCCACCUCUUCUCUGGAGACCACCAUCUUUACUUUAUUCCAUCUUUCAGGAUUAUCCAGCCAUUGGUGGGCAUUGACAGCAACCUGGGUUCCUAACGGUUUGGUUAACACCAGCACGUCCCCAACGACGGCGCUGUCCGGCAUUAUGAACUCAUUUGGCUGGCAUACUACAGUGGCAACUCCACCGAUUAUAAUCCAAGGGUUGACCACUGUUUGCCCACCGGUCACUGCCGUCCCUCCUUCCUCAGCCGCAUCCCGAAAGCCUUUGACCAUGAGUGGCGUUACCUUUUCGCGUUCCUCCUCACUCAUACUCUGGCUGACGCUGAGUAACAUCAACAUGUUGUCACACUCAGUAAUCCCCAUGGCGUAGAGGUCACUCAGCACGUUGGCACAAGCUAUGCGCCCCAUCAUGUAGGGAUCUUCUACCAAGGGGUAAAAGAAGUCCGUGGUCUGCACCAGUGACAGGCCCCCGUGCCUCAGGGGGAUGACGCAGGAGUCCAUCCCGAUGCCCAGGGCUGGAAAGGUGGGGCUGGGGCCCGCUCCUGCUGGCAGGCCGGCUUCUGGGGACGCCUCUUCCUGGCCGCCCACCAGGCCCCGGCCCAGCGGGGGCCGCACAUCCGGCCGCGUCAGUCCCGCCAGGAGUUUGAGCAGCGUCUCCUGCGGGACCUUACAGCCUCAGCCCUUCAUGCCGGAGAAGCCCGUCAGCCGCCAGCUCGGGCUGAGGCCCAACGCCUGGGGCUCGAAGGGCCGGUAGUUCGAGAAGCUCCGGCCCAGAGUCAAGCCCGCCGGGCCCGAGGAGCCUUCCGCCGCUGCCAUCGCCUCUCCGCAGGCGCCCGUCGCCGAGGCUUCCGCCAUUGCGCCUGCCCAGCAGGGAAGGGAGGGGAGAAGAGGGCCCUUUUAUUUUCCACUUAGGUUAAUAUGAAGUAAAAGUCAAAUAUUACCUGCAGGGAGUCUCCUUAGCGCGACUCAAGUCGUCAGACCCACGGCAUGCGCAAUCUGCC
rnacentral:lncRNA from 1 species